CCUGUAGAAACCUCUGCGCCAUGAGAGCCAAGGCUGAAGCGCAAAAGAAGAAAGAUGAGGCAGAGGUCCAAGUAAACCGCUAGCUUGUUGCACCGUGGUGGCCACAGGAGCAGAAACAUGGAAUGCCAGACGCUGGGGAUGCUGGUACAAGUUGUGGGACUGCAUGCUACUGUCUAGAGCUUGUCUCAAUGGAUCUAGAACUUCAUCGCCCUCUGAUCGCCGAUCACCUCUGAGACCC
rnacentral:sRNA from 1 species